UACGUAGGUGACCAGCGUUGUCCGGAUUUACUGGGCGUAAAGAGCGCGCAGGCGGUCGUUCAAGUCGAGUGUGAAAGCCCCCGGCUCAACUGGGGAGGGUCACGCGAUACUGAUCGACUCGAAGGCAGGAGAGGGAAGUGGAAUUCCCGGUGUAGUGGUGAAAUGCGUAGAUAUCGGGAGGAACACCAGUGGCGAAGGCGACUUCCUGGCCUGUUCUUGACGCUGAGGCGCGAAAGCUAGGGGAGCAAACGGGG
rnacentral:rRNA from 1 species